GACGAACGCUGGCGGCGUGCUUAACACAUGCAAGUCGAACGGAAAGGCCCUGCUUUUGUGGGGUGCUCGAGUGGCGAACGGGUGAGUAACACGUGAGUAACCUGCCUUUGACUCUGGGAUAACUUCAGGAAACUGGGGCUAAUACCGGAUAGGAGCUCCGACUGCAUGGUGGGGGUUGGAAAGUUUCGGCGGUGGGGGAUGGACUCGCGGCUUAUCAGCUUGUUGGUGGGGUAGGGGAUUACCAAGGCUUUGACGGCGAGCCGGCCUGAGAGGGUGACCGGCCACAUUGGGACUGAGAUAGCGGCCAGACUCCUACGGGAGGCAUCAGUGGGGAAUAUUGCACACUGGGCGGAAGCCUGAUGCAGCAACGCCGCGUGCGGGAUGACGGCCUUCGGGUUGUAAACCGCUUUCGCCUGCGACGAAGCGUGAGUGACGGUAAUGGGUAAAGAAGCACCGGCUAACUACGUG
rnacentral:rRNA from 1 species